UGCGUUUGUGCUUAUAAAAUAUUGUCUAGUGUCUAUUGUUUUAUCCCCCCUCACCUUGACACAGAUCUAGUCCGAGUUCAUUAUCUAUAUUAAUACCUAUAAAAACAAAUCACAUUACAAAAAAAUUUCAAUACUGUUAUAAUGUCAUGCUUUGCUUAUCUAUUUUUUAUUAAAUUUACUGUGUUUAGUAAGAUGCAUAUAUACUGUAAACCGGUUAAGAUGCAUAUCAACCGUUACAGUACAUCUGUAAAGCUGUUAUAGUAUAUAAAAUGUACAUCCGUUUAGAUUCAUAUUUACUGUACAUCUGUGAAAAUAUAUAUACUGUAAACCAACUUAUUUUCGCGGGAAAUUUAUUUGCACGACUAUCGCGAGUAGAAAAAUAACGCGAAUAUAAAUUGUCGCGAAUAUGCGAAACUUAGAUCUUUCC
rnacentral:lncRNA from 1 species